UACGUAGGUGGCGAGCGUUGUCCGGAUUUAUUGGGCUUAAAGGGCGCGUAGGCGGCUUUGUAAGUCAGUGGUGAAAUACUCCAGCUUAACUGGAGGGGUGCCAUUGAUACUGCGGAGCUUGAGUACAGAUGAGGUAGGCGGAAUUGACGGUGUAGCGGUGAAAUGCAUAGAUAUCGUCAAGAACACCGAUAGCGAAGGCAGCUUACUGGGCUGUAACUGACGCUGAUGCACGAAAGUGUGGGGAUCAAACAGG
rnacentral:rRNA from 1 species